rnacentral:rRNA from 1 species
GAUGAACGCUGGCGGCGUGCUUAACACAUGCAAGUCGAACGGAAAGACUCCUGCUUGCGCUGGUACUCGAGUGGCGAACGGGUGAGUGACACGUGGGUGGUCUGCCCUGCACUUCGGGAUAAGCCUGGGAAACUGGGUCUAAUACCGGCUAGGACGAUGGUUUGGAUGCCAUUGUGGAAAGUUUUUCGUUAUGGGAUGAGCUCGCGGCCUAUCAGCUUGUUGGUGGGGUAAUGGCCUCCCACGGCGUAGACGGGUAGCCUGCCUGAGAGGGUGGACGGCCACAAUGGGACUGAGGGACGGCGCAGACGGCAAUGGUAGGCAGUAGGCGGGAACAUUGCACAAUGGGGGCACGUCUGAGGAAGAGACGCUGGGGGUGUGAUGCAGGCUCUCGGGGUGUGAAGGCCGUUCGCUUGGGACGAAGAGCAAGUGACGGUACCUGGAGAAGAAGCACCGGCUAACUACGUG